UACGAAGGGGGCUAGCGUUGUUCGGAAUUACUGGGCGUAAAGCGCGCGUAGGCGGUUUUGCAAGCCAGAGGUGAAAUGCCUGAGCUUAACUUAGGACUUGCCUUUGGGACUGCGAGGCUUUGAGGACGAGAGAGGUGAGUGGAAUUCCCAGUGUAGAGGUGAAAUUCGUAGAUAUUGGGAAGAACACCGGUGGCGAAGGCGACUUGCUGGACUUGUAGUGACGCUGAGACGCGAAAGCGUGGGGAGCAAACAGG
rnacentral:rRNA from 1 species